GACGAACGCUGGCGGCGUGCUUAACACAUGCAAGUCGAACGGAAAGGCCCUGCUUUUGUUGGGUGCUCGAGUGGCGAACGGGUGAGUAACACGUGAGUAACCUGCCCUUGACUUUGGGAUAACUUCAGGAAACUGGGGCUAAUACCGGAUAGGAGCUCCUGCUGCAUGGUGGGGGUUGGAAAGUUUCGGCGGUUGGGGAUGGACUCGCGGCUUAUCAGCUUGUUGGUGGGGUAGUGGCUUACCCAGGCUUUGACGGGUAGCCGGCCUGAGAGGGUGACCGGCCACAUUGGGACUGAGAUACGGCCCAGACUCCUCCGGGAGGCAGCAGUGGGGAAUAUUGCAAAAUGGGCGGAAGCCUGAUGCAGCAACGCCGCGUGCGGGAUGACGGCCUUCGGGUUGUAAACCGCUUUCGCCUGUGACGAAGCGUGAGUGACGGUAAUGGGUAAAGAAACACCGGCUAACUACGU
rnacentral:rRNA from 1 species